UUCUAACAGUGGGUUGUUUCUUAAAUUUGACUCAUUGGUUCGCGGGUAAUAAUACUUUACGUUAUUGCGAUUGGAGAUUAAAAAAAUUGAGAUGGAAUAACAAAUCGUUCUCAUGAAAAUAACUGAUUUUUUCAUUAAAACAAAAAAAUGUUGCAUUUUAUUAAAUGGAUUGUAACAAUAAGUAUAAUUACCGCUUUUCUUCCACUAUUUUUAACUCAGUUUGAAACUUCAAAUGCGAUAUAAUUUUGGCUUGGACCAUCUAAGCUGACUGACAUCAACUUGCUAUAAUUUCUGUUUACAUUACAU